GACGAACGCUGGCGGCGCGCCUAACACAUGCAAGUCGAACGGAGCUGAGAGAAGCUUGCUUUUCUUAGCUUAGUGGCGAACGGGUGAGUAACGCGUGAGUAACCUGCCCUGGAGUGGGGGACAACAGUUGGAAACGACUGCUAAUACCGCAUAAGCCCACGGCCCGGCAUCGGGCUGCGGGAAAAGGAUUUAUUCGCUUCAGGAUGGACUCGCGUCCAAUUAGCUAGUUGGUGAGGUAACGGCCCACCAAGGCGACGAUUGGUAGCCGGACUGAGAGGUUGAACGGCCACAUUGGGACUGAGACACGGCCCAGACUCCUACGGGAGGCAGCAGUGGGGGAUAUUGCACAAUGGGGGAAACCCUGAUGCAGCGACGCCGCGUGGAGGAAGAAGGUUUUCGGAUUGUAAACUCCUGUCGUUAGGGACGAUAAUGACGGUACCUAACAAGAAAGCACCGGCUAACUACGUGCCAGCAGCCGCGGUAAAACGUAGGGUGCAAGCGUUGUCCGGAAUUACUGGGCGUAAAGGGAGCGCAGGCGGACCGGCAAGUUGGAAGUGAAAACUAUGGGCUCAACCCAUAAAUUGCUUUCAAAACUGCUGGCCUUGAGUAGUGCAGAGGUAGGUGGAAUUCCCGGUGUAGCGGUGGAAUGCGUAGAUAUCGGGAGGAACACCAGUGGCGAAGGCGACCUACUGGGCACCAACUGACGCUGAGGCUCGAAAGCAUGGGUAGCAAACAGGAUUAGAUACCCUGGUAGUCCAUGCCGUAAACGAUGAUUACUAGGUGUUGGAGGAUUGACCCCUUCAGUGCCGCAGUUAACACAAUAAGUAAUCCACCUGGGGAGUACGACCGCAAGGUUGAAACUCAAAGGAAUUGACGGGGGCCCGCACAAGCAGUGGAGUAUGUGGUUUAAUUCGAAGCAACGCGAAGAACCUUACCAGGUCUUGACAUCCGAUGCAUAGUGCAGAGAUGCAUGAAGUCCUUCGGGACAUCGAGACAGGUGGUGCAUGGUUGUCGUCAGCUCGUGCCGUGAGGUGUCGGCUUAAGUGCCAUAACGAGCGCAACCCUUAUCUUUAGUUACUAACAGGUUAUGCUGAGGACUCUAGAGAGACUGCCGUCGUAAGAUGUGAGGAAGGUGGGGAUGACGUCAAAUCAGCACGGCCCUUACGUCCGGGGCUACACACGUGUUACAAUGGGGGGUACAGAAGGCCGCUACCUGGUGACAGGAUGCUAAUCCCAAAAACCUCUCUCAGUUCGGAUCGAGGUCUGCAACCCGACUUCGUGAAGCUGGAUUCGCUAGUAAUCGCGCAUCAGCCAUGGCGCGGUGAAUACGUUCCCGGGCCU
rnacentral:rRNA from 1 species